AUUGAACGCUGGCGGCAUGCCUUACACAUGCAAGUCGAACGGCAGCACGGGAGCAAUCCUGGUGGCGAGUGGCGAACGGGUGAGUAAUAUAUCGGAACGUGCCCAGUCGUGGGGAUAACGUAGCGAAAGCUACGCUAAUACCGCAUACGAUCUAUGGAUGAAAGCGGGGGAUCGCAAGACCUCGCGCGAUUGGAGCGGCCGAUAUCAGAUUAGGUAGUUGGUGAGGUAAAGGCUCACCAAGCCGACGAUCUGUAGCUGGUCUGAGAGGACGACCAGCCACACUGGGACUGAGACACGGCCCAGACUCCUACGGGAGGCAGCAGUGGGGAAUUUUGGACAAUGGGCGCAAGCCUGAUCCAGCAAUGCCGCGUGCAG
rnacentral:rRNA from 1 species